rnacentral:tRNA from 1 species
GGAGACUGUCAGAGGCGAUACUUAGAGAUCAGGACAAGCAUGUAGAUAUCCGUGUGGAAUAUUUUCGGACGCGGGUUCGACUCCCGCCGCCUCCACCA